rnacentral:misc_RNA from 1 species
AAUUCUCAACCUGUCAAGCAUGUUUUUUACAAACUGUGACAGGCUUGGAUUAUGGGAGUUGCUGGAUUCUCUCUCUAUUUGAGGUCAGCUCUCUUUAAAUGCAUUAGCAGAUUCAUUGCUGGUUAUCUUUGGUAUGAUAAUUAUCUAUACCAUUGAAAAAUCAGCUUCCGCCAUGGAAGAUUUUGCUUCUAAUUAGUCUACUAAGACAAUUCUUUGACAA